GGUCAAGCGAACAAGUGCAUGUGGUGGAUGCCUUGGCGAUCACAGGCGAUGAAGGACGCGGUAGCCUGCGAAAAGCUACGGGGAGCUGGCAAACGAGCUUUGAUCCGUAGAUGUCCGAAUGGGGAAACCCGGCCCUUUUGGGUCAUCCUAGACUGAAUACAUAGGUCUAGUGAGGCGAACGCGGUGAACUGAAACAUCUAAGUAACCGCAGGAAAAGAAAUCAACCGAGAUUCCCAAAGUAGUGGCGAGCGAAAUGGGAAGAGCCUGUACUCUUUAUUUGUAUUGUUAGCCGAACGCUCUGGAAAGUGCGGCCAUAGCAGGUGAUAGCCCUGUAGGCGAAAACAGUAUGAAAGAACUAGGUGUACGACAAGUAGGGCGGGACACGUGAAAUCCUGUCUGAAGAUGGGGGGACCAUCCUCCAAGGCUAAAUACUCGUGAUCGACCGAUAGUGAACCAGUACCGUGAGGGAAAGGCGAAAAGAACCCCGGGAGGGGAGUGAAAUAGAUCCUGAAACCGCAUGCAUACAAACAGUCGGAGCCUCUUCGGGGGUGACGGCGUACCUUUUGUAUAAUGGGUCAGCGACUUACGUUCAGUAGCAAGCUUAACCGAAUAGGGCAGGCGUAGCGAAAGCGAGUCCGAAUAGGGCGUUCAGUUGCUGGGCGUAGACCCGAAACCAGGUGAUCUAUCCAUGGCCAGGAUGAAGGUGCGGUAACACGUACUGGAGGUCCGAACCCACUAACGUUGAAAAGUUAGGGGAUGAGCUGUGGAUAGGGGUGAAAGGCUAAACAAACCUGGAAAUAGCUGGUUCUCUCCGAAAACUAUUUAGGUAGUGCCUCGUGUCUCACCUUCGGGGGUAGAGCACUGUCAUGGUUGGGGGGUCUAUUGCAGAUUACCCCGCCAUAGCAAACUCCGAAUACCGAAGAGUGCAAUCACGGGAGACAGACAUCGGGUGCUAACGUCCGGUGUCAAGAGGGAAACAACCCAGACCGCCAGCUAAGGUCCCCAAAUAUGGCUAAGUGGGAAACGAAGUGGGAAGGCUAAAACAGUCAGGAGGUUGGCUUAGAAGCAGCCACCCUUUAAAGAAAGCGUAAUAGCUCACUGAUCGAGUCGUCCUGCGCGGAAGAUGUAACGGGGCUAAGCCAUAUACCGAAGCUGCGGAUGCGAGCUAGUCUCGCAUGGUAGGAGAGCGUUCCGUAAGCCUGCGAAGGUGCGUUGAAAAGCGUGCUGGAGGUAUCGGAAGUGCGAAUGCUGACAUGAGUAGCGAUAAAGGGGGUGAAAGGCCCCCUCGCCGUAAGCCCAAGGUUUCCUACGCAACGUUCAUCGGCGUAGGGUGAGUCGGCCCCUAAGGCGAGGCAGAAAUGCGUAGCUGAUGGGAAGCAGGUCAAUAUUCCUGCACCAUUGUUAGAUGCGAUGGGGGGACGGAUCGCGGAAGGUUGUCCGGGUGUUGGAAGUCCCGGUCGCUGCAUUGGAGAAGGCGCUUAGGCAAAUCCGGGCGCAGGAUUCAAGGGUGUGGCGCGAGCGACUUAGGUCGCGAAGCAAUUGGAAGUGGUUCCAAGAAAAGCCUCUAAGCUUCAGUCUAACGAUGACCGUACCGCAAACCGACACAGGUGGGCGAGAUGAGUAUUCUAAGGCGCUUGAGAGAACUCGGGAGAAGGAACUCGGCAAAUUGGUACCGUAACUUCGGGAUAAGGUACGCCCUGGUAGCUUGACUGGCCUGCGCCAGAAGGGUGAAGGGGUUGCAAUAAACUGGUGGCUGCGACUGUUUAAUAAAAACACAGCACUCUGCAAACACGAAAGUGGACGUAUAGGGUGUGACGCCUGCCCGGUGCCGGAAGAUUAAAUGAUGGGGUGCAAGCUCUUGAUUGAAGUCCCGGUAAACGGCGGCCGUAACUAUAACGGUCCUAAGGUAGCGAAAUUCCUUGUCGGGUAAGUUCCGACCUGCACGAAUGGCGUAACGAUGGCCACACUGUCUCCUCCCGAGACUCAGCGAAGUUGAAGUGUUUGUGAUGAUGCAAUCUACCCGCGGCUAGACGGAAAGACCCCAUGAACCUUUACUGUAGCUUUGCAUUGGACUUUGAACCGAUCUGUGUAGGAUAGGUGGGAGGCUAUGAAACCGGAACGCUAGUUUCGGUGGAGCCGUCCUUGAAAUACCACCCUGGUUUGUUUGAGGUUCUAACCUUGGCCCGUGAUCCGGGUCGGGGACAGUGCAUGGUAGGCAGUUUGACUGGGGCGGUCUCCUCCCAAAGCGUAACGGAGGAGUACGAAGGUACGCUAGGUACGGUCGGAAAUCGUGCUGAUAGUGCAAUGGCAUAAGCGUGCUUAACUGCGAGACCGACAAGUCGAGCAGGUGCGAAAGCAGGUCAUAGUGAUCCGGUGGUUCUGUAUGGAAGGGCCAUCGCUCAACGGAUAAAAGGUACUCUGGGGAUAACAGGCUGAUACCGCCCAAGAGUUCAUAUCGACGGCGGUGUUUGGCACCUCGAUGUCGGCUCAUCUCAUCCUGGGGCUGUAGCCGGUCCCAAGGGUAUGGCUGUUCGCCAUUUAAAGAGGUACGUGAGCUGGGUUUAAAACGUCGUGAGACAGUUUGGUCCCUAUCUGCCGUGGGCGUUGGAAGUUUGAAGGGGGCUGCUCCUAGUACGAGAGGACCGGAGUGGACGAACCUCUGGUGUACCGGUUGUGACGCCAGUCGCAUCGCCGGGUAGCUAUGUUCGGAAGAGAUAACCGCUGAAAGCAUCUAAGCGGGAAACUCGCCUUAAGAUGAGACUUCCCCGGGGACUUGAUCCCCUUGAAGGGUCGUUCGAGACCAGGACGUUGAUAGGUCGGGUGUGUAAGCGCAGUAAUGCGUUCAGCUAACCGAUACUAAUUGCCCGUACGGCUUGAUCCUAUAACAAGUCUGUCUCGAUAUAGCCGUCGCGCUUCAGCGCCGACGCAUAUCGAGCCUCGAGUGCAAGCCACUCGAUGUACAGCGGUUGACGUGCCGCGUAUGUGUGAGAUACAAC
rnacentral:rRNA from 1 species